UACGUAGGGUGCAAGCGUUGUCCGGAAUUAUUGGGCGUAAAGGGCUCGUAGGCGGUCCGUCACGUCGGGAGUGAAAACUUGGGGCUUAACCCCAAGCCUGCUUCCGAUACGGGCGGACUGGAGGUAUGCAGGGGAGAACGGAAUUCCUGGUGUAGCGGUGAAAUGCGCAGAUAUCAGGAGGAACACCGGUGGCGAAGGCGGGUCUCUGGGCAACAACUGACGCUGAGGAGCGAAAGCGUGGGGAGCGAACAGG
rnacentral:rRNA from 1 species